AAUCAACGCUGGCGGCGUGCCUAACACAUGCAAGUCGAACGAGAAAGCGGGGGCAACCCUGUGAGUAAAGUGGCAGACGGGUGAGUAACACGUGAACAACCUACCCUCGAGUGGGGAAUAACACCGCGAAAGCGGUGCUAAUACCGCAUAACAUCUUCGGAUCGCAUGAUCUGAAGAUCAAAAGCGCAAGUUGCUUGAGGAGGGGUUCGCGCCUGAUUAGCUAGUUGGAGAGGUAAUGGCUCACCAAGGCAACGAUCAGUAGCCGACCUGAGAGGGUGAUCGGCCACAUUGGAACUGAGACACGGUCCAAACUCCUACGGGAGGCUG
rnacentral:rRNA from 1 species